rnacentral:tRNA from 1 species
GGUUUUAUAGUGGAAGAAAGACGUUGGAUUGCAAAUCUGAAGAUAUGCAAAUAGCAUUAAAACCU